rnacentral:rRNA from 1 species
AUUGAACGCUGGCGGCAUGCCUUACACAUGCAAGUCGAACGGCAGCGGACCUUCGGGUGCCGGCGAGUGGCGAACGGGUGAGUAAUAUAUCGGAACGUACCUUUCAGUGGGGGAUAACGUAGCGAAAGUUACGCUAAUACCGCAUAUUCUGUGAGCAGGAAAGCAGGGGAUCGCAAGACCUUGCGCUGAUUGAGCGGCCGAUAUCAGAUUAGCUAGUUGGUGAGGUAAAGGCUCACCAAGGCGACGAUCUGUAGCGGGUCUGAGAGGAUGAUCCGCCACACUGGAACUGAGACACGGUCCAGACUCCUACGGGAGGCAGCAGUGGGGAAUAUUGGACAAUGGGCGAAAGCCUGAUCCAGCCACGCCGCGUGGGUGAUGAAGGCCUUCGGUUGGUAAAGACCCGUCGUCGGGAGGGACGGAAGU